rnacentral:rRNA from 1 species
GAUGAACGCUGGCGGCGUGCCUAAUACAUGCAAGUCGAGCGAACAGACGAGGAGCUUGCUCCUCUGACGUUAGCGGCGGACGGGUGAGUAACACGUGGAUAACCUACCUAUAAGACUGGGAUAACUUCGGGAAACCGGAGCUAAUACCGGAUAAUAUAUUGAACCGCAUGGUUCAAUAGUGAAAGACGGUUUUGCUGUCCCUUAUAGAUGGUUCCAGGCCGCAUUAGCUAGUUGGUAAGGUAACGGCUUACCAAGGCAACGAUGCGUAGCUGACCUGAGAGGAUGAUCGGCCACACUGGAACUGAGACACGGUCCAGACUCCUACGGGAGGCAGCAGUAGGGAAUAUUCCGCAAUGGGCGAAAGCCUGACGGAGCAAUGCCGCGUGAGUGAUGAAGGUCUUCGGAUCGUAAAACUCUGUUAUUAGGGAAGAACAAAAGUGUAAGUAACUAUGGACGUCUUGACGGUACCUAAUGAGAAAGCAACGGCUAACUACGUG